GGGCGAUUAACUCAGCGGCUAGAGUGCCACCUUCACACGGUGGAAGUCACUGGUUCGAAUCCAGUAUCGCCCACCA
rnacentral:tRNA from 1 species